rnacentral:rRNA from 1 species
AGUGAACGCUGGCGGUAGGCCUAACACAUGCAAGUCGAACGGCAGCACAGUAAUAGCUGGCUAUUACGGGUGGCGAGUGGCGGACGGGUGAGGAAUACAUCGGAAUCUACUUUUUCGUGGGGGAUGACGUAGGGAAACUUACGCUAAUACCGCAUACGACCUACGGGUGAAAGCAGGGGAUCUUCGGACCUUGCGCGAUUGAAUGGGCUGGUGUCGGGUUGGCGAGUUGGCGGGGUAAAGGCCCACCAAGGCGACGAUCCGUAGCUGGGCUGGGAGGAUGUACCGCCCCACUGGAGUUGGAACGCGGUCCAGACACCUACGGGAGGCAGCGGUGGGGACUAUUGGCCAAUGGGCGCAAGCCUGAUCCAGCCGUACCGCGUGGGUGAAGAAGGCCUUCGGGUUGUAAAGCCGUUUUGUUGGGAAAGAAAAGUAGCAGGUUAAUACCCCGCUGUUCUGACGGUACCCAAAGAAUAAGCACCGGCUAACUUCGUG